AUGCGGGGCCAAUCUCAAAUCCCAAAUUCUGGAAAGCGCUACUUCCCACGCAGUAAAGGGAAGCCCGGGCGCCUCAAAACCAAACCUUGGAAGACGCUGGAGGAGCAAAGCCUGCAAGUUUCCAUCCACAGCCUCGAAGCCAUGGGUUCUCCCCGGCCCUCUGAAGCCGCCACACCUGUGCCAGCCGGCCGCAUCCUCAGACCUUUCCACACGGAGUCUUCCCAGCACUUGGAGAAGCAGCGCAGGGUCCCGAGGACGGCCUGGCCCGGAGAAAAGAUACCCAAGCUCCAACUUUCCCCAACCCCGCUCCCCUCCUCCUUCCACCCUCCCUUCCCGCCCCAAAGCUCGGGGGUCCUAUCCCUCCUCCGGUCCGCGGAGUCUCCCGAACCCUGCGGGGACCCGGCGCUCGGCGGUGCCCUCCUGGGGCGCACGGGGCUGGGGCGGGAGCGGGGAGACCAGGUGGGGAGGGGACCCCAGAUCUCAGACGCCCGGGGAGACGGCGUUUCCCGCUGUUCAUUCAGGUUUGUGCCAAAAGGAGCCUCACAGAUGCAGUAUUGGGUUUGGUAGACUCAAAUCGUCUUGUUUUAAUGUAAAUGAAAGCACGAGCGCGCAUCGCGGAGGCCACGAUUCCCGUUUUAUUCCCUCUCCACGGCAAGGAAAAGCAGCGAAAUCUGAGGUCUUCAGAGGUUAACCCUAUCUAGGAGCAGAAUGUGACGCAUUGUAAACAAAUAAAUGUUGAAAACUCGAUGUUAAACACUUUACUUUUUCUGACUCCGACUUGCUUGACCCCUGAGCAGACCUGGGUUUUGAACACAGACGCCCUUCCCCAUUUCUCUAUUCUCUGUAUUCCUGUUUCACCUUCACGGCAAUCUGCCAGUACUUCUUAGCACUCAGUUUAACCAGAGGACGAGCUCUUGAAUAGCAAAAACCAGGUCUUUUUAUACGUGGCACAGUGCCUGUUACAAAAUAUGCUUCUUGGGUGAAUUGGUAAAAAAUAUUGUGUUACUUUUUAUUUGUAGCAAAACCUAGAAUAAGAAAAAGUACAAGAGAUUAUUGUUUGCCUUUAAGUUGCAUUUUUAGAAGAGCGUGCAUGUAAUCUCUGAGAAAUUAAAUGUCUACAAAUACACAAAGAUAUUGUCUCAUUGCAAAGGGACAUUCUAUUCCAGGGCCUGAAGAAGGAAAAACAGCGUGUUGCAUGUAUAAAUGUUGACUUUGAGAGACAAGUUUUUGUUAAAAUUUUAUCGUUAAAUGAAUAGACACAUAUAUUUUUGUUUUUCAGACCAAAGGUAAUUGUUAAUUCAUUUGUAAAAUAAUGUGGUUUUGGCUAACAAUCUCUGGAAUCCUUUCUAUAAUAAAAUUUUGUGAUUCCAGGACGUCGUAGGCGCUCUGGGGCUGCUUUUGAAAGGCUAAUUAAUUCAAGUUUUAACUGCCUAUCUGCUUUUAUGCAUCUGUGUCAGGACUGCACAUAAGGGUUAUUUUGCUAUUAAAUACUAGGGUUCUACUGCAAUAACAAUAAAAAGUAAAACCCUGACUAUCCUGAAACUCUGCGAGGGAAUGUCCCCCAUGAGGUUACCAAAAUUCAACUUUCUGGUUUUUGUGAUGAGUAUAGCUUUGAUUCUGAGAUGUGUCUAAAACCAGUUGCAGUUGGUGUCUCUUUAUUAACUUUUAACUUUGAAAUAAUUCUGAAUUUACAGAAACUUUCUAAAUGUAGUACAAAAAACUCCAGUAACCCCUCAUCCUCAUGGGUAUGUUCCAAGACCCCCAGUGGCUGCCUGAUACCGUGGAU
ensembl:lincRNA